AAUCCGUCGACUUUAGAAAUCGUGAGGA
rnacentral:tRNA from 1 species